GUGGGGAAUAUUGGACAAUGGGGGAAACCCUGAUCCAGCAAUGCCGCGUGAGUGAAGAAGGCCUUAGGGUUGUAAAGCUCUUUCGCCCGCGAAGAUAAUGACGGUAGCGGGAGAAGAAGCCCCGGCUAACUCCGUGCCAGCAGCCGCGGUAAUACGGAGGGGGCUAGCGUUGUUCGGAAUUACUGGGCGUAAAGCGUACGUAGGCGGAUGCGCAAGUUGGGGGUGAAAUCCCGGGGCUUAACCUCGGAAUUGCCCUCAAAACUGCACGUCUUGAGACCGAGAGAGGUAAGGGGAAUUCCUAGUGUAGAGGUGAAAUUCGUAGAUACUAGGAAGAACACCAGUGGCGAAGGCGCCUUACUGGCUCGGUACUGACGCUGAGGUACGAAAGCGUGGGGAGCAAACA
rnacentral:rRNA from 1 species